rnacentral:rRNA from 1 species
AUUGAACGCUGGCGGCAGGCCUAACACAUGCAAGUCGAGCGGAUGAAGGGAGCUUGCUCCUGGAUUCAGCGGCGGACGGGUGAGUAAUGCCUAGGAAUCUGCCUGGUAGUGGGGGAUAACGUCCGGAAACGGGCGCUAAUACCGCAUACGUCCUGAGGGAGAAAGUGGGGGAUCUUCGGACCUCGCGCUAUCAGAUGAGCCUAGGUCGGAUUAGCUAGUUGGUGGGGUAAAGGCCUACCAAGGCGACGAUCCGUAACUGGUCUGAGAGGAUGAUCAGUCACACUGGAAGUGAGACACGGUCCAGACUCCUACGGGAGGCAGCAGUGGGGAAUAUUGGACAAUGGGCGAAAGCCUGAUCCAGCCAUGCCGCGUGUGUGAAGAAGGUCUUCGGAUUGUAAAGCACUUUAAGUUGGGAGGAAGGGCAGUAAGUUAAUACCUUGCUGUUUUGACGUUACCAACAGAAUAAGCACCGGCUAACUUCGUG